rnacentral:snRNA from 1 species
CUGUUUGCUUCGGCAGCACAUAUACUAAAAAUUGGAACAAUACAGAGAUUAGCAUGGCCCCGCACAAGGAUGACACACAGAUUCAUGAAGCGUUCCAUAUUUAA